GAUGAACGCUGGCGGCGUGCCUAAUACAUGCAAGUAGAACGCUGAAGGAGGAGCUUGCUCUUCUGGAUGAGUUGCGAACGGGUGAGUAACGCGUAGGUAACCUGCCUGGUAGCGGGGGAUAACUAUUGGAAACGAUAGCUAAUACCUCAUGACAACAGUUAUUGCAUGAUAACUGUUUAACAGGGGCAACUGCUCCACUACCAGAUGGACCUGCGUUGUAUUAGCUAGUUGGUGAGGGAAAGGCUCACCAAGGCGACGAUACAUAGCCGACCAGAGAGGGUGAACGGCCACAAUGGGACUGAGACAAGGCCCAGAAGACUACGGGAGGCAGCAGUAGGGAAACGUAGGCAAUGGACGGAAGUCUGACCGAGCAAAGCCGCGUGAGGGAAGAAGGGUGUCGGAUCGGAAAGCUCGGUUGUAAGAGAAGAAAGAGUGUGAGAGUGGAAAGUUCACACUGUGACGGUAGCUUAACAGAAAGGGACGGCUAACUACGUG
rnacentral:rRNA from 1 species